rnacentral:rRNA from 1 species
AGCUCUCCGAGUGGUAGGGAUGAUUAUUGGGCUUAAAGCGUUCGUAGCCGGCUUAGCAAGUCUCCUGUUAAAAUCAGCGACCUAAUCGUUGAAUCGCGGGAGAUACUACUAGGCUAGGAGGCGGGAGAGGUCGACGGUACUUCUGGGGUAGGGGUGAAAUCCUAUAAUCCCGGGAGGACCACCAGUGGCGAAGGCUGUCGACUAGAACGCGCUCGACGGUGAGGGACGAAAGCUGGGGGAGCGAACCGGAUUAGAUACCCGUGUAGUCC